GGCGACGCGCCGUCCGAGUCCCCUGGAACGGGGCGCCAUAGAGGGUGAGAGCCCCGUAUGGACGGAUGCCUAGCCUGUGUGAAUCUCCUUCGACGAGUCGAGUAGUUUGGGAAUGCUGCUCAAAAUGGGAGGUAAAUUCCUUCUAAAGCUAAAUAUUGGCCAGAGACCGAUAGCGCACAAGUAGAGUGAUCGAAAGAUGAAAAGCACUUUGAAAAGAGGGUUAAACAGCACGUGAAAUUGUUGAAAGGGAAGCGCUUGUGACCAGACUUGCGCCUGGCUGAUCAUCCGGUGUUCUCACCGGUGCACUCUGCCAGGCUCAGGCCAGCAUCGGUUUUCGUGGGGGGAUAAAGGUCCCGGGAAUGUGGCUCCUCCGGGAGUGUUAUAGCCCGGGGCGUAAUGCCCUCGCGGGGACCGAGGUUCGCGCAUCUGCAAGGAUGCUGGCGUAAUGGUCAUCAGCGACCCGUCUUGAAACACGGACCAAGGAGUCAAGGUUUUGCGCGAGUGUUUGGGUGUCAAACCCGCACGCGUAAUGAAAGUGAACGUAGGUGAGAGCUUCGGCGCAUCAUCGACCGAUCCUGAUGUAUUCGGAUGGAUUUGAGUAGGAGCGUUAAGCCUUGGACCCGAAAGAUGGUGAACUAUGCUUGGAUAGGGUGAAGCCAGAGGAAACUCUGGUGGAGGCUCGCAACGGUUCUGACGUGCAAAUCGAUCGUCAAAUCUGAGCAUGGGGGCGAAAGACUAAUCGAACCAUCUAGUAGCUGGUUACCGCCGAAGUUUCCCUCAGGAUAGCAGUGUUGUUCUUCAGUUUUAUGAGGUAAAGCGAAUGAUUAGGGACUCGGGGGCGCUUUUUAGCCUUCAUCCAUUCUCAAACUUUAAAUAUGUAAGAAGCCCUUG
rnacentral:rRNA from 1 species